GUGAUUGCUUUGGCAGCACAUAUACUAACAUUGGAACAAUACAGAGAUUAACAUGGCCCCUGCGCAAGGAUGACACGCAAAUUUGUGAAGCGUUCCAUAUUAAA